rnacentral:rRNA from 1 species
AUGGGAUCUCGAAGCAUCUGCCUUCUCAUUCUUCUUGUGAUCUUCAUCCCCAGUUCUGUCAUGUCUGAAUCAAGUGAUAUAAAAAGUUUAUUCACUCUGAGGCACUCAAUUGCUGAAGAAAAGGGUUUCCUCCGCAGCUGGUUUGAUUCAGAAACUCCCCCUUGCAGCUGGUUAGGUAUAACCUGUUCGGGGCGUAGCGUUGUGGCCAUAGACUUGUCCUCCAUGCCACUCUACGUCCGGUUUCCUUCAUGCAUUGGGGCAUUCGAGUCGCUUGUUCUGCUGAACUUAAGUGGGUGUGGGUUUACCGGUGAGCUUCCAGACACCCUGGGGAAUUUGCAGCGUCUUCAGUACCUAGAACUGAACGACAACCAGCUGACUGGGCACCUGCCUGACUCAUUAUAUACCUUGAAGAUGCUGAAAGAAAUGGUGCUUGACAACAACUUAUUACAUGGACAACUGAGCCCUGCAAUUGCUCAGUUGCAGCAUCUCACCAAGCUCUCCAUAUCCGGGAAUUCCAUCUCCAGUGGCAUUCCUACAGAGUUGGGCAGUCUGCAGAACCUAGAGUUCCUGGACCUUCACAUGAACAGCCUAAAUGGAUCGAUUCCAGCAGCUUUUCGUAAUCUGUCUCAGCUGUUGCAUCUUGAUCUAAGCCAGAAUAACCUCAGUGGAUUGAUAUUUUCCGGAAUAAGCUCAUUGGUGAACCUUAUGUCACUUGAUCUGUCCUCAAACAAUUUUGUGGGGCCAAUACCCAGGGAGAUUGGUCAAUUGGAAAACCUUCGACUGCUGAUUUUGGGACAAAAUGCGUUCACUGGGAGCAUUCCAGAAGAAAUUGGUAAUCUGAAGCGGCUUCAAAAAUUUGACAUAUCAGAGAACCACUUCGAUGCUGAACUCCCAACAUCCAUCGGUCUGCUUGGCAAUCUGACACAGCUGAUUGCGAAGAAUGCAGGGCUCAGGGGGAGCAUACCCAAAGAACUAAGUAACUGCAAGAAGAUUACUCUCAUAAAUCUGUCAUUUAAUGCCUUCACUGGCUCCAUCCCUGAAGAACUUGCAGAACUGGAAACUGUUAUCUCUUUUUCUGUGGAAGGGAAUAAACUAUCAGGCAAUAUUCCAGAUUGGAUAAGGAACUGGGCAAAUGCAAGAUCUAUAUCGCUGGGUCAAAACUUGUUCAGUGGACCUUUGCCAUUGCAGCCAUUGCAGCAUCUGCUCAGUUUCUCUGCAGAAACUAACCGUCUCUCAGGUUCUGUCCCUUUUGAGAUGUGUCAAGACAACUCCCUGCAAACACUCAUACUGCAUGAUAACAAUCUGACUGGAAGUAUCGAGGAAACAUUUAAAGGAUGCACAAACCUCACCGAGCUGAACUUGCUAGGAAACCAUCUUCAUGGAGAGAUACCAGGGUACCUGGCUGAGCUGCCUUUAGUUAGUCUGGAAUUGUCCCUAAACAAUUUCACAGGAAUGCUGCCUGACAGGUUGUGGGAGUCAUCAACUCUUUUGCAGAUCUCUCUCAGCAAUAAUCAGAUUACCGGCCAGAUCCCAGAUAGCAUUGGUAGGUUGUCCAGCUUGCAGAGGUUGCAGAUUGACAAUAACUAUUUGGAAGGACCCAUACCACAGUCUGUUGGCUAUCUACAAAAUCUGACUAUUCUGUCUCUGCAUGGCAACGGGUUAUCUGGGAACAUUCCAAUAGAACUCUUCAACUGCCGAAACCUUGCUACACUGGACCUGAGCUCUAAUAAUCUGACCGGGCACGUCCCGAGGGCCAUAUCUAACUUGACAUUGCUCAAUAGCUUGAUUUUGUCUUAUAACCAGCUCUCUGGUGCUAUUCCUGCUGAGAUCUGUCUGGGGUUUGAAAAUGAGGUUCACCCUGACUCGGAGUUUGUGCAGCAUAACGGCCUUCUUGAUCUGUCAUACAACCGGUUGACUGGUCAGAUUCCGGCAGCAAUAAAGAAGUGUUCUAUGCUGAUGGUGUUGAACCUGCAAGGCAACUUGCUAAAUGGCACCAUUCCCUCAGAGCUUGGUGAGCUGACAAAUCUUACAAGCAUUAAUCUGUCUUCUAAUGGAUUAGUUGGACCAAUGCUUCCUUGGUCUGCACCAUUGGUACAACUUCAAGGCCUUAUUCUAUCAAACAACCACCUAAAUGGCACCAUUCCUGUUGAGAUAGGCCAAGUUCUUCCCAAAAUUUCAAUGCUAGACUUGUCCGGUAAUGUACUUACCGGAAGUCUACCCCAGUCUUUGCUGUGCAACAAAUAUCUGAACCGCCUGGAUGUCAGUAACAACAAUCUCUCUGGGAAAAUUUUAUUCUUUUGUCCCAUGGACGGAGAAUCCUCAAGCUCACUGUUGUUCUUCAAUUCAAGCAGUAACCAUUUCUCAGGGACCCUAGAUGAGCCUAUCUCGAACUUCACACAACUGUCUUCUCUUGAUAUCCACAACAAUAGCCUCACUGGAAGCUUACCAUCAGCACUCUCUGAUCUCAGCUUUUUGAACUAUCUUGACCUCUCAAGCAAUGAUUUCUAUGGUGUCAUCCCUUGUGGUAUUUGCAAUAUAUUCGGCCUCACAUUUGCCAACUUCUCUGGUAACCACAUCGACAUGUACAGCUCAUUAGAUUGUGCAGCAGGAGGUGUUUGUUCCACUAAUGGCACUGGGAUCAUUUGUAUCCUUUCACUUGCUGUCAUCAUUGUGUUAGUACUUCUCGUGUUUUAUCUGAGACACAAACUAUCCAGGAACAGUUCAUUGGUUAUUGCGCCCGCUGGUAAGGCCAAGGCAACCGUUGAGCCAACCUCAAGUGAUGGGCUCCUAGGAAGGAAGUCACGGGAACCUCUGAGUAUCAAUCUCGCAACUUUUCAGCAUUCACUGUUGCGGGUCACCAUUGAUGAUAUACUGAAAGCCACAGAGAAUUUCAGUAAGGAACACAUCAUAGGCGAUGGUGGCUUUGGCACUGUCUAUAGGGCGGCACUCCCUGAAGGUCGGAGAGUCGCGAUCAAGAGGCUUCAUGGUGGCCAUCAGUUCCAGGGUGACCGUGAAUUCCUAGCUGAGAUGGAGACCAUUGGAAAGGUGAAGCAUCCAAACCUUGUUCCCCUGCUUGGUUACUGUGUUUGUGGCGAUGAACGGUUCCUGAUCUACGAGUACAUGGAGAAUGGGAGCCUUGAGAUAUGGCUGAGGAACCGAGCAGAUGCAGUUGAAGCGCUUGGAUGGCCAGACCGUCUCAAGAUCUGCCUCGGCUCUGCCCAUGGGCUUGCUUUCCUUCAUGAAGGAUUUGUGCCUCAUAUCAUCCACCGGGACAUGAAAUCACGCAACAUCCUGCUGGACGUGAAUUUCGAGCCGAGGGUCUCUGACUUUGGCCUCGCAAGGAUAAUCAGCGCGUGUGAGACUCACGUCAGCACCGACAUUGCCGGUACAUGUGGAUACAUCCCCCCAGAGUAUGGCCAGACAAUGAAGUCCAGCACGAAAGGCGACGUGUACAGCUUCGGCGUCGUCAUGCUGGAGCUGCUUACAGGGCGGCCACCCACAGGGCAAGAAGACUUGGAAGGUGGUGGGAACCUUGUCGGCUGGGUACGAUUGGUGAUCGCUCGCGGAGCGAGGAACGAGCUGUUUGAUCCUUGCCUGCCAGUCUCAGGCGUGUGGCGGGAGCAGAUGGUGCGCGUGCUCGGCAUCGCCCUGGACUGCACGGCCGACGAGCCGUGGAAGAGGCCAAGCAUGGUGGAGGUGGUGAAGGGCCUCAAGACGACCCAGCCAAUGGAGUGCGGGCCUCUGGUGGUGACGGUGUCCAGGGGCUCGUAG